rnacentral:misc_RNA from 1 species
UUUCCGUAGGUGAACCUGCGGUAGGAUCAUUAUUGUAUAACCGAGGUGCGAGGGCUGUCGCUGACCAGAAAGGUCGUGCACGCCCGAGUGCCCUCACGCAGAUUCAUCUCACCCCUGUGUGCACCACCGCGUGGGUCCCCCUUUGGCUUGUUCGGAGGGGGGCUUACGUUUUCACACAAUCUUUGUAUGCAGUGUAGAAUGGAUUUUUUGUUUUUGCGAUCACGCAAUCAAUACAACUUUCAACAACGGAUCUCUUGGCUCUC